CUACGGGGCGCAGCAGGCGCGAAAACUCCACAAUGCGCGAAUGCGUGAUGGGGUUAACCCGAGUGCCGUCCGAUGAGGAUGGCUUUUCCCCAGUCUAAGGAGCUGGGGGAAUAAAGGGGGGGCAAGACUGGUGUCAGCCGCCGCGGUAAUACCAGCCCCCUGAGUGGUAAGGACGAUUAUUUGGCCUAAAGCGUCCGUAGCCGGCUUGGUAAGUCUUCCGUUAAAUCCGACGAUUCCAUCGUCGGACCGCGGGAGAUACUGCUAGGCUUGAGGACGGGAGAGGUCGACGGUAGUCCCGGGGUAGGGGUGAAAUCCUAUAAUCCCGGGAGGACCACCAGUGGCGAAGGCGGUCGACUAGGACGUGCCUGACGGUGAUGGACGAAAGCUGGGGGAGCGAACCGGAUUAGACACCCGGGUAGUCCCAGCUGUAAACGAUGCGAGCUAGGUGUUGGAGCAACUACGGGUUGCCCCAGUGCCGCAGAGAAGUUGUUAAGCUCGCCGCCUGGGAAGUACGGCCGCAAGGCUGAAACUUAAAGGAAUUGGCGGGGGAGCACCACAAGGGGUGAAGCCUGCGGUUCAAUUGGAGUCAACGCCGGGAACUUACCGGGGCUGACAGCAGGGUGAAGGCCAG
rnacentral:rRNA from 1 species